AUCGCCUCUCAGCCUUUUGGCUAAGAUCAAGUGUAGGAAAUCUUUCUUUGAGGUAGUAACUAAAUGGACAACUUAUUUAUUUAUUUAGUUAGUUUUGGUUUUUGAGACAGGGUCUCACUAUGUAGUUGGCAUUGACCUAGAACUCACUAUGUAGCCCAGG
rnacentral:snRNA from 1 species